rnacentral:lncRNA from 1 species
GCGGGUCCUGAGGCGCGGGCGGGGCGCCAGGCGGCCCGGACGCGGGCGCACGGGGCGGGGCCUGCACGGGGGCGGACGCAGAGCGCGACUGACGUACAACCCGACCAAUGGGUGUGCCCCGGUGCCGCUCGCCCCGCCCCUGUCGGCCAGACAAUGGGGGAAGACUGGGCCCCCGGGCUCGGCCGGGCUCGCGAAGGUGCUCCCGCCGAGCAUGCGCCGCGGCGCGGGUCCUGCCGGGAUUGUAGUCCGCGAGCCAGGCUUCCUGCGUGGGCGGCUGGGGACAAGCUUUGGAGGGGGCUGACGGGUGUUCCCGAACUUGGAGGAGGCCUUUCCUUCCUCCAGGGAGGAGCGGCGUGCCUAUUCAGAGCCUCUUUGAGAACAGGCCAGGGAUUACUGCUGACGCCAAGGACACUAAAGCCCGUGGCCAGGCUCAUUGGUGGAUGCAGAGAACCCAGGCUCAGGGGAGCCCAGGCAAGGCCAUGGACACAGGACUUUCAGUGAUAUUGGCCGCCACCAUCCUACUCUGGGAGCACUGGAAGGGAGAGCAUAUCCCUCCUUGAAAUCUCCCAGCCUCGGGUCAACCUCAGGCCAGGGAAUGACUGCUCCCUUCUUGGCAUUUCCUGGGUGAGGUGGCCUCGCCCUCCUUCUCCGCCCUCCCCCUCCUCCCUCCUCUCCUCCUCCUCCUCUGGCACUCCAGGGCCCUAGCCCAGCUCGAGGUAAGACUCAGGUCUGGCUUCAAAUCCCAAGACAUCUCCUUGCUAGCUGGAUGACCUCAAGUAAGCCACUUGUCCACCUUGGGCUUAUUUCCUCAUCUAUAAUAUGUACAAAGGACUAAAUGAGAUGAUUCAAAACAGGAGUUGAGCAUGGGGCAUGUUCCUUGAGAGCCAGCCGGCUUUAGGACUCUCUUUAGGACCUGCUGGCUGCUUCACCAUUCUUCAAACGUGCCAGACAUGUCCUACCUCAGGACCUUUGCACUCACUGAUUCCGUGCCUGGAACGCUUUUACUCUAGCACUUAGCCAAAUCCCUCACAACCUUUUGGUUUUAACUUAAAUGAUACUUGCUCAAAUAAACCUAUUUCCCUCACUCCUGAUGCCCUUUCC